rnacentral:rRNA from 1 species
CCUACGGGUGGCAGCAGUGGGGAAUAUUGCACAAUGGGGGAAACCCUGAUGCAGCGACGCCGCGUGAGUGAAGAAGUAUUUCGUUAUGUAAAGCUCUAUCAGCAGGGAAGAAAAUGACGUUACCUGAGUAAGAAGCCCCGGCUAACGACGUGCAAGCAGCCGCGGUAUUACGUAGGGGGAAGGCGUUAUCCGGUUUUACUGGGUGUAAAGGGAGCGUAGACGGCAGUGCAAGUCUGGAGUGAAAGCCGGGGGCUCAACCCCCGGACUGCACUUGAGACUGUACGGCUGGAGUGCAGGAGAGGUAAGUGGAAUUCCUAGUGUAGCGGUGAAAUGCGUAGAUAUUAGGAGGAACACCAGUGGCGAAGGCGGCUUACUGGACUGUAACUGACGUUGAGGCUCGAAAGCGUGGGGAGCAAACAGGAUUAGAUACCCUAGUAGUC